CAGGAAAUUUGAACGUGUGGAAGGAAUACUUCAGACAGAUACAUUGCUGACGCUUCGUGGGAGGCAUUUAUUGCAAGAAUAACAUUCUUGGAAAAGGCAGAAGCCUUCAGUGGUCCCUUCUUGGAGAAAGGAAAUUUCUGGACUUUCUUUAUGCUGGGCAGUGAGCUGUUCAUAUAUGUAAUGUUCCUGGUUUGCAAGUUUGCUCCACAAAAGAAAUUGGUCCAGGAAAUAUA